rnacentral:ncRNA from 1 species
AAAUUAAUUAAGAGGCAACUCUUAACUGGCCAGUUGAGGAAAAACCGAGAGGUUCAAGCUCAGCGGGCAGAAAGUCUGAGACAGUAGAACUAAACAACUCAGGUGACUGGUUACGAAGGUAGUUCUCUAACAGCGUACCAA